CAGUCGCCGCGGUAAUACGUAGGGCGCAAGCGUUAUCCGGAAUUAUUGGGCGUAAAGAGCUCGUAGGCGGUUUGUCGCGUCUGCCGUGAAAGUCCGGGGCUCAACCCCGGAUCUGCGGUGGGUACGGGCAGACUAGAGUGAUGUAGGGGAGACUGGAAUUCCUGGUGUAGCGGUGAAAUGCGCAGAUAUCAGGAGGAACACCGAUGGCGAAGGCAGGUCUCUGGGCAUUAACUGACGCUGAGGAGCGAAAGCAUGGGGAGCGAACAGGAUUAGAUACCCGAGUAGUCCCUGUCUCUUAUAA
rnacentral:rRNA from 1 species